AGAGUUUGAUCCUGGCUCAGAUUGAACGCUGGCGGCAGGCCUAACACAUGCAAGUCGAGCGGCAGCGGGAAAGUAGCUUGCUACUUUUGCCGGCGAGCGGCGGACGGG
rnacentral:rRNA from 1 species